rnacentral:rRNA from 1 species
AGUCGAGCGGACAGAUGGGAGCUUGCUCCCUGAUGUUAGCGGCGGACGGGUGAGUAACACGUGGGUAACCUGCCUGUAAGACUGGGAUAACUCCGGGAAACCGGGGCUAAUACCGGAUGCUUGUUUGAACCGCAUGGUUCAAACAUAAAAGGUGGCUUCGGCUACCACUUACAGAUGGACCCGCGGCGCAUUAGCUAGUUGGUGAGGUAAUGGCUCACCAAGGCAACGAUGCGUAGCCGACCUGAGAGGGUGAUCGGCCACACUGGGACUGAGACACGGCCCAGACUCCUACGGGAGGCAGCAGUAGGGAAUCUUCCGCAAUGGACGAAAGUCUGACGGAGCAACGCCGCGUGAGUGAUGAAGGUUUUCGGAUCGUAAAGCUCUGUUGUUAGGGAAGAACAAGUGCCGUUCAAAUAGGGCGGCACCUUGACGGUACCUAACCAGAAAGCCACGGCUAACUACGUGCCAGCAGCCGCGGUAAUACGUAGGUGGCAAGCGUUGUCCGGAAUUAUUGGGCGUAAAGGGCUCGCAGGCGGUUUCUUAAGUCUGAUGUGAAAGCCCCCGGCUCAACCGGGGAGGGUCAUUGGAAACUGGGGAACUUGAGUGCAGAAGAGGAGAGUGGAAUUCCACGUGUAGCGGUGAAAUGCGUAGAGAUGUGGAGGAACACCAGUGGCGAAGGCGACUCUCUGGUCUGUAACUGACGCUGAGGAGCGAAAGCGUGGGGAGCGAACAGGAUUAGAUACCCUGGUAGUCCACGCCGUAAACGAUGAGUGCUAAGUG